GGAGUCGGCCAGACAGUCGCGUCACUCGCAAGAGUGCCGAGGAAAGUCCGGGCUCCAUAGGGCAAGGUGCCAGGUAACGCCUGGGCGGCGCAAGCCGACGGAAAGUGCAACAGAAAGAUACCGCCUACGUUCCUUUCGGGGAGCCGGUAAGGGUGAAAUGGUGCGGUAAGAGCGCACCGCGAGUCCGGUAACGGACCGGCACGGCAAACCCCACCUGGAGCAAGACCAAAUAGGGAUCCAUUGGCGUGGCCCGCGCUGGAUCCGGGUAGGUUGCUUGAGCGCUGCGGUGACGUAGCGCCUAGACGAAUGACUGUCCACGACAGAACCCGGCUUAUCGGCCGGCUCCGCCG
rnacentral:RNase_P_RNA from 28 species